rnacentral:rRNA from 1 species
AGUGAACGCUGGCGGUAGGCCUAACACAUGCAAGUCGAACGGCAGCACAGUAAGAGCUUGCUCUUACGGGUGGCGAGUGGCGGACGGGUGAGGAAUACAUCGGAAUCUACUUUUUCGUGGGGGAUAACGUAGGGAAACUUACGCUAAUACAGCAUACGACCUACGGGUGAAAGCAGGGGAUCUUCGGACCUUGCGCGAUUGAAUGAGCCGAUGUCGGAUUAGCUAGUUGGCGGGGUAAAGGCCCACCAAGGCGACGAUCCGUAGCUGGUCUGAGAGGAUGAUCAGCCGCACUGGAACUGAGACACGGUCCAGACUCCUACGGGAGGCAGCAGUGGGGAAUAUUGGACAAUGGGCGCAAGCCUGAUCCAGCCAUACCGCGUGGGUGAAGAAGGCCUUCGGGUUGUAAAGCCCUUUUGUUGGGAAAGAAAAGCAGCAGGUUAAUACCCCGCUGUUCUGACGGUACCCAAAGAAUAAGCACCGGCUAACUUCGUG